GCAUGCAUUUAGGUUGUCAUGGUGACGCGCGCUCACACAACCGCACGUCAUGGCACUGCGCUGAACUCUGUCCAGACUGUGAAUGUGGUAUUAUCUUCGCGAUCUGUAGGCACUACGGAAACGAAAGGCGCAUAAUCAUAACUCAAAUAAUCUCCGCCUAAAUACAGAACGGUAUUUUCUGAUGACGGGCAAAAACUUAGCCUCAAAACGUAGCUGUCUGUCACACACAGCUUGUUGCAUGCUGAUCCAUACACGAGAGCCUAACGGAGAACAUUUAAGCUGUGCUCCUCACCUGAGCAGAAUUGAAGGUCGGUUGUUGCUGACUACAGAAAGAUUCUUAUAUGGAGGCAUGUAAAAGCAAGGAAAGUGAAACUUCAGCUAGACCUUGAGUUCAGUUUACAAUAUGAAGAUCCUGAUAUCAACAUCUGAUCUGAUCAACACCUGAUUUUCAUCUGAGCUGCAGAGUACCAACAUGUUACAAAUGAGAAUUUUCCCCACAAAUUCUUUGGACAACCGCACCACCACCUAUUUCAUUUGAUGACAAUUUUAAGGCAAACAGCAUCCAAAACUGACAAGACAGCAGAUACCCUGGCUAAUCUUUUGAAGGUUUAUGAUGAGCAGGAACUGCAUGAUGUCAGUUCAUGAUGGACCACUGUUAUCAGAGGUCUUUUGGUCUUGCUGCGUGAGCGUGACUGGGGAUUCUUUAGGACCACCCUGAUUAAUAAUCCUGAAGCGCUGACUGAAGAUGCUUUAUUGGCCCUGCAGUCACUGAGGGUCUCUGCUGUCCUGAAGAAUGAAUUGGACACCACCCACAGCACACUUCCAGACCUUUUUUGUCUUGUUUGGAUUUUAAUGUAUGCUCUUCACAUAGUAUAUAGUAAAGGACUUUGAACUUGUACAAAAAGUUUUGCUUGGCAUGGAUGAUAGAAAAUAGAAAGUCGAUUAGCAUAGAAUCCUUAAAGAAUGAGUUGAUGUAGAGCCUUUUUUUGUACUCAAUAAAGACUGUCACUGGGGUAGUAACUUCAAAACAUAUAUGUACCUUUAAUUGGU